UUGAUGGCUCAGAUUGCAUCUUCUACCAACCAGAUAUAGUUUUCACUCUCUUCCUCCGCAUCUGAAAAGAUUUUACCGACUAAAAUUUCAAGAUAAAAACAAAGCAAAUCUCAAAACAGUCAUAAUCAAAAAAAUUUGUAUCCUCUCAGAUUCAUUUAUCUUUCAUCUCAACAACAUAUUUUCCGCUUAAACCCUCGAUGAUGGUGAUGAUGACUGGUGACGGCGAGGCAGACGAAGCUGAUGCAGACAACGGCGGAGAAGCCAUCUCCCGACUUUAACAAGGCUCGAGAAUUGUGACAGUAUAAUCUACAUCAAAUUAAAGGUGGAUUGUUUAGCUUUCAUGUCUGGUGAACUCUCCAUUCACUGAAAGUAGGAAUCUCUCAUCCCACCAAACUCUCUGAUGUCCAUCAACAAGAGUAUCCACAUGUACAUUCGCUCUAGGGACAAGCUUCCCCAUCCAUUUGUACACCUUAGCCCAUUUACAAUAAUGCCCCGAUUACUAGGAACCUUCUGAUAUCAGUAACUUGAGAUCUCCUAUCUCUUUGACGACACACCUUAUGAAGCCGAUGAAAUCUCAGAUUUGGAUAUUUAUGGAAACAAAGAUUUCUCAAGUCACUUAUAUUCUACAGAAAUUUUUUCUUUCAUAUUUUAUUUGUUUUGUUUGCUUGUCUAUGUAAAAGUUUUCAAUUUGCUUCAUAAAUUAUAAGUUGCUAUAGUUCUUGUUGUACACAACUCAUGUUUUUUUUCCAUUUUUGUACACAUGAAAUUUGAGUUGUUAGUAACUAUUAUUUUACUGAA